GGAGGAAAGCAGGGGAUCGCAAGACCUUGCGCUUUUGGAGCGGCCGAUGUCUGAUUAGCUAGUUGGUGAGGUAAAGGCUUACCAAGGCUUCGAUCAGUAGCUGGUCUGAGAGGACGACCAGCCACACUGGGACUGAGACACGGCCCAGACUCCUACGGGAGGCAGCAGUGGGGAAUUUUGGACAAUGGGGGAAACCCUGAUCCAGCCAUGCCGCGUGAGUGAAGAAGGCCUUCGGGUUGUAAAGCUCUUUCAGCCGGAACGAAAAGGUUACGGUUAAUACCCGUGACUAAUGACGGUACCG
rnacentral:rRNA from 1 species